GGGUCUUUAGCUCAGCCGGUAGAGCAGCGGACUUUUAAUCCGUUGGUCGCGAGUUCGAAUCUCGCAGGACCCACCA
rnacentral:tRNA from 5 species